rnacentral:lncRNA from 1 species
UGGUUUUGGUGGCUCUUUAGGCUUUUCUGGCUCUUUGGGUUUCGCAGGCUCUUUAGGUUUCUCGGGCUCUUUGGGUUUCUCCGGCUCUUUGGGUUUCGCGGGCUCUUUGGGCUUCUCCGGUUCUUUGGGUUUUUCAGGUUGUUUUGGCUUCUCGGGUUCUUUGGGUUUCUCAGGUUGUUUUGGCUUCUCGGGUUCUUUAGGUUUUGGUGGUGGUGGUUUAGGCUUUUCAGGUUCCAGGAUUGCAAUACUCUUGAUUGAACCUUCACCUUUGCAGCAUAGUUUGUCCCUGAUCUUUUCAGGACUGCAGCACACUACUUUUAUUCUCACCGUAUUCGUCUUCUCAUCGAAUAUCUGGUCUUGUAUUUCUCUUGUUC